rnacentral:rRNA from 1 species
AUGAACGCUGGCGGCGUGCCUAAUCCCUGCAAGUCGAGCGAACGGACGAGAAGCUUGCUUCUCUGAUGUUAGCGGCGGCCGGGUGAGUAACACGUGGAUAACCUACCUAUAAGGCUGGGGUAACUUCGGGAAACCGUAUCUAAUACCGGAUAAUAUUUUGAACCGCCUGGUUCAAAAGUGAAAGACGGUCUUGCUGUCACUUAUAGCUGGAUCCGCGCUGCAUUAGCUAGUUGGUAAGGUAACGGCUUACCAAGGCAACGAUGCAUAGCCGACCUGAGAGGGUGAUCGGCCACACUGGAACUGAGACACGGUCCAGACUCCUACGGGAGGCAGCAGUGGGGAAUCUUCCGCAAUGGGCGAAAGCCUGACGGAGCAACGCCGCGUGAGUGAUGAAGGUCUUCGGAUCGUAAAACUCUGUUAUUAGGGAAGAACAUAUGUGUAAGUAACUGUGCACAUCUUGACGGUACCUAAUCAGAAAGCCACGGCUAACUACGUG